UUGCACGUGGACAUGUCUGCUCCUCUUUUCUUUGGGAGUAGGAAUGUAUCCCUAACAUGCUACGCUGAUUAAGGGGUUUUUCGGGGUUCCAACCUUACAGGAGAGGUUGAGUAGUAGUAUAUUUCUCCUACAUUA
ensembl:snoRNA